rnacentral:rRNA from 1 species
UGGGGAAUUUUGGACAAUGGGGGAAACCCUGAUCCAGCCAUGCCGCGUGCGGGAAGAAGGCCUUCGGGUUGUAAACCGCUUUUGGCAGGAACGAAACGGCGCGGGCUAAUACCCCGCGCUAAUGACGGUACCUGCAGAAUAAGCACCGGCUAACUACGUGCCAGCAGCCGCGGUAAUACGUAGGGUGCAAGCGUUAAUCGGAAUUACUGGGCGUAAAGCGUACGCAGGCGGCUGUGCAAGACAGGUGCGAAAUCCCCGGGCUCAACCUGGGAACUGCACUUGUGACUGCACGGCUAGAGUCCGUAAGAGGGGGGUGGAAUUCCACGUGUAGCAGUGAAAUGCGUAGAGAUGUGGAGGAACACCGAUGGCGAAGGCAGCCCCCUGGGAUGAGACUGACGCUCAUGUACGAAAGCGUGGGGAGCAAACAGGAUUAGAUACCCUGGUAGUCCACGCCCUAAACGAUGUCGACUAGUUGUCGGGUCUUUACAGACUUGGUAACGCAGCUAACGCGUGAAGUCGACCGCCUGGGGAGUACGGUCGCAAGAUUA